rnacentral:lncRNA from 1 species
AUGUACACCUGCUCCAAGUUCGUCUCCACUCCCUCCUUGGUCAAGAGCGCCUCACAGCUGCUAAGCCAUCUGCUACCUGCAGUGGUGCUGAAAUGACCAGAGACACUGACAGGUGAGAACCUCAGCAGCUUGGUAGUCUCACGUCCCCUUACCUCACUUGUCCCUGGCCGCAGCUUGGAAAGCAGCGCCAUUUCAAGGGACAUCGACACAACAGCCAAGUUCAUUGGGGCUGGGGCGCCACAGUUGGGGUGGCGGGCUCUGGGGCUGGGAUUGCGACUGUGUUUGGGAGCCUCAUCAUUGAUUAUGCCAGGAACCCUUCUCUGAAACAACAGCUCUUCUCCUACACCAUUCUAGGCUUUACCCUCUAGGAAACCAUGGGGCUCUUUUGCCUGAUGGUGGCCUUUCUCAUCCUCUUCCCCAUGUGA